UGGUGAAGGAUAGGGAAACAAGGAACUCUAAAGGAUACGCCUUCUGCGUUUACUAGGAUCUCUCAGUUACAGAUAUUGCUUGUGCUGCUCUAAAUGGGUGAUAAAACUCGUACUGUUAGACGAGCGAACCUGGGCACCGCUCAGCUAAAACCUGAGCAGGAAACGUCUUAAUACAGGCACAACUACAGGUCGCGUGGCAGAGGCAAUUGUUCCAAACCGGAGGUGGUCUAGGUGGUGGUAAUGGAGGUGGCAUUGCUACCAAGGUCGUAUGCCUGACAGAGGUGGUUACUGCAGAUGAGCUUAAAGAUGAUGAAGAGUAUGAAGAUAUUUUGGAAGAUAUGAGGGUAGAAGGUGGAAAAUUUGGUACAUUGAUGAAUAUUGUCAUCCCCCGUCCACAACCUAACGGUGAACCCUCUCUAGGACUUGGAAAGGCUUUCGUUGAGAACUACGACACUUCAUGUUUAAGCCAGUGCCUCUACGGUAUCAUCUACCACUAUGUUUCUC